UCUCAUGGACUCUUUCUUCCCCUAUAUUUUGUUUCAGGGUAGAAAACCCUUCCUCUUUUUUUGCGAAUCAAAAUCUCCAAGUCUGGGCAAGAAGGCAAUCACAUGGAUGCAUCAGCCAGUGACCUUGUAAUGAACAGCGAGAGCCUUCAGGAGCUGGGGGAGCAGCGCUGUGGGGCACUCGGGGCAGGAGCACCCACAGCAGCACGGUCAGGACCAGUGCCCACCAGCAGCCCGGCACUGGGAGCUCACUGCUCCAGGGACACGGCACAGGCACAGAGCAUGCCGGGUUUCCAUCUCCCUCCACGCUGCCUGCGGGGACGGGAGCACGGGGAGGCUUCGCCCGGCUCCUGGGUGCCGCUCGCUGCUGCAGGCAGCCACGCUGCUCGGCCCAGGAGCAUCUGUGUGACCAAACAUUCAUCUGUUUGCCCUGCUUUUAACCAGAAGGUUGUUGAAGGAAUGUGAUGGAAUCAAGUAAAUCCAAGCUGGAAGUCUCCCGUGAGAGGAGACGGGAGGAAAACUAAGAGGAACAGAGGACAAAGUGCUGACUGUCAAACCCUUUGGUGGGUUUCUGCUUUUUGUGUUCAGAAAUCGGGAAGCCAGGGGAAGCAGCGCCGGUACGCUGUGCUCAGAGCGAGCCUCCUCGCAAGCGAUCCUUCUGUCAGUGCCUUCACUUUCCUCUUCCUUUCUGCUUUUCUUCCAACCCCCCAGUGGUACUUCUGGCUGCUUUGCUUUCUCUAAACAUUAUCUUUUCCGCAGUUGAUGGGCUGUUGAAAUAUGAAGUCCAUAAAUCACUGGAUAAUGUCACAUCCACUGCGGUGUCUGUCCCGUUCAGCCUCAGCGAUCGCCCUGCCUGGCACGGAGGGAGCACAGGGCCUGGUGAGCAGCCCCCCCGUCCCGCAGCCUGGUUCCCUUCUGCGUGGGGCAUCGCCGUUAUCCCCAGAGGAACAGCCGGGGUGGGUGUGCUGGAAAACCAGCUCUGCUGUCCCCAUGAGGUUCCCUAGGGUUUGCUGAGACCAACGUUGUAAAAUUGCUGCCCAGCAUUAAGAAUUUAGGAGACAUCCCCUGCGCCGGGAUGCCCGGGUGCUCAGCUGGAGGAUUGCUUGCCGUGGAGAGGAGAGGUGGCAUGGCAAAGCAUGUGCUUCUGCUGAUACGCUGGGGUUAAAAAGUAAUUAAUUAGCUAGUUUAUGGUGUUUUCCCAUCUGAAAUUAAAAACAAAAAUUAUGCAGAACAUACAAGGUAAUUAGGAAGCAGCAAGCUACAACACACCUUUAAAUGAGAGCUCUAAAAAGCAUGAUGUUCGGCAGCAGAUUUUUAAUGUAACAGCUAUUAAAAGCUUACACCCUCGAUCGCAUUCCUGGGAACAUUCAUCACGCUUCGACCUUCCCUCACGGAUCCAGGUAGAGCCCUAGCAAAACCUGAAUUUUUAAUAUUCCUGGUGCUUAUCCAUGAUCAGAUUUCCCAUUUAAAAUCUAUUAGCCAAGAUGAGAAAAUUGGUUCAUAUUUUAUGUGCCUAGUUUAAUUUUUUUUCCUUUGCAUUUACAACCGGCCCCUAGUGUUUCAUCCACCCCCUGAUGAUUUAGCUGUGCAAGAUGUUCCACCAAUUUAUUAGAGUGGAGUGUAUGGAGCAGGUCAUGCAUAUUAAACGUGAAGUUUUUACUACAGUUGGUUCAAUAAUCUGAAAGAAAAACAUUAUUAUAUUUUUUUUUUAAUUUUUUUUUUUUUACUGUGUUACCAGCUGCCACUUCUGGAAGGGCAGCCCCCACUUCUGUCACCCAUAUCAGUCAUUGCCAGUGUGUAUUUGCUGGCCCAGAGAAAAUCUUUGGUCAGACUGGGGUUGGGUUUAUGUUAGUUUGCUCAGGCUGUCCUGCGAGGACGUGGCCGAGACAUUGACCCCGGCACGGCACCGUGGGUUCGUUCCCACGCUGCGAACGCAAUCAGGGAUGAAAUAUUCCUGGGAUAAGGCUGGCUAAUUAGCAUACAGUCAAUUGCUGCUUCUCUGCUUUCGGAUGUCUUUCACUUGUCAAGCUCGGAAUCGUAACAUAAUUAGGAUUUUUAGGACUAACGCUUUUACACGGAGCCCUGCGCUUCCUCUCCGGGCGCUGGGCAGGCUCGCCGUGCCGCGCGUUUCCUUCCUACCGGGCCAAAAAUAGUGGUGGGGCUGUGAUUGGCAGCCUGUCCUGGUAAUUAGCCACAGGAUGUCUGCUGCCAGUGGAAGCCAAUGGAGACAUCAGCAAAAGGGAAAUCAGAGCAAACAACCCGAAACUGUGAUCCAAGCAUCUGCUGCUGCUGCAGUGACCGAGCUGGGUCCCCAGCCGGCUGAGGAGGGGCCGGCGGCCCCCACGGCGGGGGCCCUGCGUGAGACCUCCCAUGUGGCUGGGUGCAGACAGGGGGAUGAGCACGAGCAGCGGUGGCGAUGCUGGGCUGAGCCGAGCGGGCAGUGGGAGAGCACCAAGUCCUCAUCCCCAAAAUUCCGGCACCAAACGUGGCAGCGAGGAAAUGAGAAGAUGUCUUCUAGAGCUGAGAUAAAAGCCACUGUAUAAAUAGCACCUAUGCAAGGAAAUACUGCGCCAAAAGCCAAUGUUUGGGGGGAUGUCAAAGAUGCUGUCUCAUCUGCCAGCAUCCCCAGCGCGAACGCGAUGUGUCAAUGUGAAGUGCUCCCAGCUGCGUCCGUCCACUCCGCUUUCAUUCCCGGGAGAGAUUCCUGGGACGAAAACCAGGUUGGCGUGAUGGAUCCAGCAGAGGUAUGAAAUGCUCGCUCCAGCCGGGGAAUGUGGUGGUACAGGCGAGAACCCCAAACCACCGAGGAGAUGGUUCAGGAUGAGGUAAGCAGUGGCACCGUGCCCAGCUCCGGGUGGGAUGUGGGACCUGAGGACAGCCUGAGGAGCACCCACCGCCCUGCGCCCUGCCUUCUCCUGGCAAGCAGAUUUGGGAAGCACGCUGGGCCUCCUGGAGUAGUCUGGGCAAUGGGUUUGGAGCUCCCACAGCAGCCAUUUGGGGAGGUGUUCCCAUGCGUCCCCUGCCCAACCCAAGGGACCGGGCUCCACAAAGCGUGCCCGUGCCAGGGCCGGCUCUGCAGCACCAGGAGGGAUUAAUCACUUUAUCAGCCAAAUACAGGUGGGUUAACACAGUCACUUAAUCUCUGUUUAAGCAGCUGAUGCUUAAAAAAAUAGCCUAAAUUGUAUUUGCCAAUGAGGUCUUUACAGUAGCUGUUCCUGUUGGUGUGGCUGAGUGCUGUAAUUUAAAUGUAAUGAAGAAGGUAGGGAAAAGGGGAGGGGGGUGGCUGAAUAAAAGGCAAAGCACUGUUAUUUUCUCUAUAUAAAUAUAUUUCUCUGGUAAAAGUUAUAUCAAUAAGCUAUCAUUUCAUUCACUACAGCCCAUCUUUCCUCAAAUAGCCCAUCUGUUAAUACAAAUCUGGCGACACUCUGCUUCAUUUGUCUUGAUUGUGCUCAGGGCAGCAAAGCCGGCUCAGAAAGCAUUUGGAUUUUCAGCCCCCACUAUUGGCAUUCAUUUAUCAGCUGUGGGCAAAAAAAAAAAAAAAAUACAAUAAAAAAAUAAAUAUAUCCAACAGGUCUCUGUCCUCGUGUCAGCGAGCAGAGGCACGUGGUGGCAGGGACGUGUCCUCAGCUGCCUCCUGUGUGCCAGGCGAUGCCCGGGCUGAGCAGCAGCCGCCCCACGUGUUGGUGCUGCCCACGUGUGAGCACGGCCCGGUGCCUCUUCCACCUUUUUUUUUUGUUCUAAUCACUCGUACCUUCGUUUUUGUUGUGCGCUUCUGGAGAUGAAACACCCCUGUCUGUUUACAGAUCGCUCUGUAUGCAGAGGAGUCGCUGCUGUCUCCUAUUACCGCUGGAUAAACACUGCUUGCUGCACAACAUGACUUUGAGCGAUGACAGGAAAACACUCGGUGCUGUCACACAGAUAAAAGCCUGGCGUCCUCGGCACAAAGAAGCCGCAGCAGCAACGAAGUGAUGGGGUUUAUGCAGUCGAUAUUAAAAAGUCAUUUGACAAAAAGCUGGAGGGAGAGGCCACGCGUGUGGCUGGCCGCUUGGUCACAGAGCUCGGGCGUUGGAAUCGGGUGCGGGUUAUUUGGGGAAUCAGCUGCAAGCUGCUCCAUGGGGCAGAGCAGCACAAUGCCAUCCCAAAGGCAGCUCUACCAGCAGGGUUUGGAGCAGAAAGGAGGCCACGGGCUGGCCUCAUCCCCUCCUGUCCCAGGCCUUGCUGCGUGGCCUGAUCGCCACCUUUGGCUUUUCAAGCACUGUGAUUUCCCCACCCUUUUUCCUUUGGGCAAGGAAUUCACAUUUUCUUUUUACAGAUGGAAAAAAAAAUGAGGCACAGGCUCAGAUGGCAAGGAAAAGGGCAUAGAAAAAUAAGCUUUUUGUGGGGUGCCUGCCUAAAGUACAGACUCAUUGCCUGGGAGAGCCAACGCGCUGGGUGCAGCACUGGCUCAGGAAGAGCUUUGGUCCCCCCUGAAACUGCAGCUGUAGGACACACAGAGACUCCUGAAGUCGCAAAUCAGUCUCCUGCUCGUACCAUUACAGACAAGACUGAGCAGGAAAAUGUGAAAAUAACUCUGUCAUCUGAAGAAACAGGCUUUAUCUCCUCUGUCUGUGUUUUAAUACAGGAAAUAUCACCUGCUUCUCCAGCUCCUUUCAUAGGCAGAGAAUUUAUCUGUGAGCAAGCUAAGCCAAUAUAAGUUGAAUAAUAUUUGUUGAUUAAUGUAGUCAAUGAAUUUCAUAUUUUCUUUAAAAUAUUUGCUGCAUAUUUCUGUAAAUUAUUCAUCCGGUUUAUAAGGCAAAGCAAAUAUUUGUGAAUAGAUAUGAAUUAUGUGAUUUAUAAAAAUGAAAUAUUCAUGAGUCAUUUUCAUUAUUCACCUCGUCCAGGAAUUGCUACAUAAAUCUGAUCAGGCAAAUAGAUUUGGUGAAGCUCAGCCCAAAUUUAUGGAUGUUGUGGAGCUCGCUGGCUCCAGCACAGAAAACCAGAAUGCAUUUGGACCAAGUGUUUGCCUUGUGUGUUUGACGACGCUUUGCCUCCUCCAAGGUAGGCUCAAAAUCAGUUGUGCGAAGUCCAGAGCACUAGGUAAAAGCAGUUUGGGGUUCACAAAACAGCUGGUUUCCUCAGCUGCAGGAAGGCUGCCCUUGCACAAGGUGCUCCCCAGGAGCUGUGCAUCGAAUAUAUGGAGUUUGCUGCACAGCAAUGCCAUCCCUCACCUUAAAGGAGAGGUAGGGAAAGACAUGAAGACGGAGCCCUCGGUGUGCUCUGCAGCACCCGCUUCACGCCAGAUGCCUUCCUUACCCUGAAUUUUAGCAGAGGCAAGGGGGAGAUGAGGCAACAGAUCCUCUCCCCAGCACCGAAGCCCCUGUCAAGGGCAGCGAGGACGCCGGCGCUGCUGGGAGGACAGGCAGUGCCGCGGGGAGGGCACAGGGAGAGGUGCUGUGAUGCGGAGGUGGCUGGGGAGGGACAGGAGCAGGCAGCGAGGCGCCUCCUGAAAUGAUGGCAAAGACACUGGAGGUUACAGAAAUAUAUGAAAAAAUCCAUCAGCAGGACAACGGCAGCUCAGAGAUGAGCUGGGUGUGAGGCAAGCUGCAUCCCCCGUGCCAAGGGCUGGGAAAAUACAAACGACACCCGGCGGUGCUGUUGCAGGCAGUAGUGUGAAGCAAAGCCCAGCUGUGAUGCAGUGGCCUACAAACCCUCAGUGAGGAAAAGUGUGGGAAAAGCUAAUUGCAGAGCACCUGGGAAAGAGCUGCGGCACCAAGGGAGAGCCUCUGCGACAGCCCCAGCCCGGCUGCAGCAGGACCCAACCUCACAGGACAGGAAUGAGCCUGGAAACGAAUCUGGUGCCAGCCCUGGUUAAAAAAGUAAAUUCAUUUAAAAAACUCGGUUAAGCACAUGCUUAACUUUUAGGGUGUGAGUAAUGCCUUCGACUGCACUGGGACUGUAGAUCUGCUUGAAGUUAUGCAUACUCUAAGUGCGUCUUGGACCGGUGCCACCCCGCUCGCUGCUGUUCCAUAAUGAACUCGGCUUUUUUGCAAGCUGCAAAAUGAGCACUCAAAAAUUCAGCUUUGGGGACCUUCAUAUUUUCCAAAGUGUUAAAGUGCUUUCUUUUUAAAUAGCAAGCUUCCAUUUAGAAAAUAGACUGCUCCACAGACAGCAUUAUACAUCUUCUGCUACCGGGGUGUUUUGCUCAGCACUGCACGGGGACAUCAUAAAAACCAUGUGCUUAGCGGAGUGAAAUUGCUGACUCUAUUACCCCGGUCAAGGAAAACUGUCCGUCUUCAUCCUCCCUCUUAUUAAUCAGGAAAGGGCUGGCGAUUCGGUGCUGUUCUGUACCGUGCAUCCCAGAUGCGGAGCCAGAGCUGAGAAAGCUGAUUCAGUGGACAUCCUUUGGGGAGGCAGAACCUGCGGGCUCGGCUCCUCUCUGCUGGAGAGCUCAGGUCAGUGGCUGCUCCUCGGUGACCUCUCCUUGCUGCUGAGCAGGACGGGAGGCAGCAAAGGACCGAGUCCCCAGGUGAGGGGUGGGCAUGGGGGGCAGCAGGGACCACGAGGGGCUUUGUCUGCCCCAGGCAGCUCCCUGUGCCCAGCCGGCACGCCAGCUGGCAGCCCCUCUCCGGAGGUCACGUUGCUAUCAAACAAGGCAGAAGCAGCGAUGCUUUAUUCUGGCCAAGGCAGUUCUUGAAUUUUCACACUAAACUCAAAAUCUGCUCAACCGUGGGAUGGUAUUUUUCUCCUUGCCGUCUCUGGAAUAUCCACAGAGAAGCCAUUUAUCAACACUGUGUGCGCAUCCAAUCUCCAGGGCCCUCUGCUUCACCUCCCAUUAUUGGCCAUCUCCACAGCACUUAAUGAGGCAGGUAUUUAGAAGAAAGUGCCUAAUGAAUUUGAAAAGUUUUUGACCCUUUUAUUGCAACAUCUCAAAUACCAUGCAUCUGGAAAAUGGUUUUAAUGUUGCAUAGACCAUUAUAACCCGAUGUAUUUAUUCUAGGCAUUCUGCUCUGAGAUGUUUAACAGUUUUGGGAACGCAGCCAGCAGGCUCAAGCAGUGGGACAUUCAGCUGGCAGGACUUUUCCUUAGAGGGAGGCUUCCUUCUAAUGCUCCCUUCCCGUACGCCUUUCAUCCCCUGCCCAGCAAGCUUGGUGCUUUGUGAUGCAGCUGGAGGUGGAAGUCAGCAUGUGCCUGUGGUCGAUGCAGGGAGAGCCAGCGCUGCUGGAGAACAGGGGCUGGUGCAGCUCUAACAGGAGCCGUGCCUGCCCACCCAGCUCAUAAAUCCUAGAAGGGAAGCCUGCUUUGGGAUAAGUAGGUGCCUGACCAAAAUCUGCUGCUGCUAAACUUUUGCAAUUCAGCCUGAAAUUCAGCUUACGCACAGCCUCUGAAGCACAAAGUCUCACCAUUAUUAGGGCCCAAAGAGCAAGCAGAAACCAUCUGUGAGUGCCUCCCCCCUUUGAUAAGAGGCUGCAGUGCUGGCCGUGGGUUAGAGGUGGGCUCAGGCACCAGUAGGUGCUGGCCUGCAGGCUCUACAUGGACACGCUUUGUGCUGGGGUGGCAGCACCCAGGGAAGCGCUGGGCACAGGAAGGGCAAAAUCUCUUUUUCAAGAAUAUCAGCGUUCCCAUAAAUAUGCCUUUCCCACAAAGGGCACGCAGGCUGCUAAUCUGCUCAGCAGCUGCUGAGCUGCCAGCUGCACGGCGGCGACUCAGGGGCUGCUGGAGCUGCAGGGCUCAGCGGCACCGGGCACACCUGGGUCUGCUCGGAGCCUGCCUUUUGCUGUAUUUCCAUAAAGGACGAGUUCCUGCGAAGCGAAUGCUUUUUUUGGGAAACCAAGCACCGGGUGGGGACGUGAGCUCAGGCUCUGUAAGGGUACACAGCUCUAGUGAAGGAGAGAAAUUGCACCCUGGGGUUAGUGCAGCCAGAAAUACACCUUCCCAUACCCGUCUGCAUUCGUUUGGGUUUCUUCCUGGCUUUACAUCAUCUCGACAAAAUAAAGCACAGAGUGCUGGUGAGGUGUCUGGACUCGCAAGUCAAACUUUACAGUAGUUUUGGAUAAUCCAGAACUUUGUACGCAAAAGUGAAGGGUUUGGUGACCUAGAGAUGACUGAAGCUCUGAAGGGCGAGGCAGUAAAUCGGCCCUCGUUCACCAGCCGUGCUCCAGCGAGACUCGCGGGCUGCGUCUGAAACGCAUCGCUGCUCCGGUGUUAUGGGAUGCUCGCUGAUUUAUUGUGAGCAUCUCACAAUAAAUACACGGUCCCAGCUUCCCGGAGGCGUGCUGCAGGCAGGGCAACGUCCUUGCACUUGGGCUCGUGCAGCUGGGGAAAAUCCCUCCUCGGCUGAGUCCUAGGACAGGAAUCUCCUGUAAAGCUGCUGCUGCUGGCAGGUAGAAAAUCACAAAAAGCAGCUGCAGCAGUCUCCGGCCUCUGGAAUUUUUAUUAUUUUUUUUUAAUUUAUUCUUUUCUUCCUGCUUUGUCAAAGUACUCUGUUCCUGAGUCUUUUAUUUUUUAAAAAGAAAACCAAGAUCCAAUCUCCAGUCCUCCAAGGGACAUUAAUUGCUGCAACUUCAGAGCGUGCUGGGCCUGUCAUUAAAUCUUUGCUCAGCAGCGGACGGACUUGGAAACCACUUGUAGCCCUCAGAGGGAAGGGAGGGCCAUGCCCAGGUGAAUCAAGUGCAUGCCUUCAAGCACCAGGAGGAUGUCUGCCUUCCCCAUAGCAGGUGGAAAUCCCAUCACAAGUGCUGAGAUUGGCAAAGCCCUGUGCCCAGCGGGGAGAGCCCUGCCUGGGCUGGAGACCGGCCGGCAGCCCCGCCGGGAUGUUUGUUUGUCAGCGUGAGGAAACAAACGCAGCCAAAGUAAUGAUUAGCUCGUGGCGAUAUCCACUAUAAUUUUAAGGUCUGUUAAAUAUGAUUUAAAUAUUUUUUUACUCAUUAGCAAUAAUUUAGAAUGGUCCUCUUUUUUCAGAAACUUCAAGUAUGAUUGUAAUAGCUUUGUAAUUUUGGGCUCUAUCAUUAAAAUUAAUGAUAUCCUAAUGCUCUAUGUGCACUAGAAAAGUCUGAUCAGUUUUUUUCCCUUUAUAUAUCAUUACUAAUAGAACAUUUUAAUGGCUGUAAUUUCCAGCUCUGUAGAUGGGGGCCUAAAAAUAGGAAGAAAGCCUAUUCCAUCAUGCCAUGCCAGCCCCUAAAUAAUUCAAUUACAUAGUCUGGAAUAUCUGUUGCUGGGUGUGUUCCCAACUGCAGAUAACGAUAAGUAUGAGAUAUGACUUUUAGAGAAGGGCUUAUUAGUGCAAUGUCUUGACAUCCCGACCCCAACGAGCUGCUGCUGUGGAUGUCAGAGUGCUGCCGGGAGCACAGAGCGGGGGGAGCCCCGAACCAUCCCAGCAGCCUGGUCUGAUUUGUGCUUUGCCUCUCCCAGGUCCUUGCUCCAGUUUUUGUACAGCCGAUUUUUGGUCCUUUUUGAGGUCAAACUACUCCUACCACCAUCGUACUGCUGCCUCAUCAGUCUCACCGCUAUUUUUCUGCGUCAAAAUGUUCUUCUGCAACCUGCUCUCCUCCAGUGUCUGCCACUCUGCAGGAGAGCAGGGAGGCCGUGGCGGCAGUGCCAUCGCGGCCAGCACCGCUGGGGAAAAGUCAGGGAGGUCCAGGAGCUCCCGCAGAGGAGAGGAAACAACUUUUAUACAUCUUUAUUAACUGUUCAUUAAUCAAACCUGAAAGAGGAGGAUGUGGUCUGGCCUAGAGCGGCAGCAAUUCCACCACAGCUCCAGCCACUUAGUAACCACCGCCGGAGAUAUCAGAUCGUUUACAGCUAGACGUGACACAAAAGGCCAAAAUAAUUAACAGAGACACAGCUCAUGGUCCAGAAGCCUCUGCAAAAAAGUCCCCGGUGUCCUCAGGCACUUGGCAGUGCCCACCACGACCUCUCGGAGCAGUUACCCACGGUGGGAGCAGGGACCCACUGGGGGAGCCUUGCCUGUGAUGUGGUUUUCACUUCCACCUGGCUCCAGAAAAAAAACACAGAGGCAUAUCGUGUGCUACAUUAAACACAAUGGCUAGAUUCUCUCUUUUACUGU